rnacentral:rRNA from 1 species
UACGGAGGGGGCUAGCGUUGUUCGGAAUUACUGGGCGUAAAGCGUGCGCAGGCGGCGCGUUAAGACAGGUGUGAAAGCCCCGAGCUUAACUUGGGAAUUGCGCUUGUGACUGGCGUGCUGGAGUGUGGCAGAGGGAGGUGGAAUUCCACGUGUAGCGGUGAAAUGCGUAGAGAUGUGGAGGAACACCGAUGGCGAAGGCAGCCUUCUGGGCCAAUACUGACGCUCAUGCACGAAAGCGUGGGGAGCAAACAGG